AACAUAAUUAAUUAUAAUUUUCUAAGGACUAACCAUUUAGUCUUUUAGUUAUGAUUUGGGGGGAAUUUUCAUUUUCAAAAGGUUCUCUCACAAGUUCUUUGCUUGGCUAGAAAAGUUUUAAGAAACUAAACAAUUGUAACUUUCCAAUGUAAUUGUGUUCCUAAUUUCAGGCUUGCCAUUUGGCCUUAUGCCAAGUUGAUACUUAGUUGCAAGCAACAUUAGACAGAAAACAGAACAUUGAAAGCAACAUUAGACAGAACACAAAACAUCAUUUCAAACAAUUAAAUGGAAUCUCACAACAUUAGACACAAUUAAAUGGAAUCUCACAACAUUAGACAGAACACAGAACAUCAUUUCCAUUCUCUUUUCUUCUAACAUUUCACCAAUGUCUCUUUUACGUGAUUUUUAUUUUAAUUUCAGCAUUGGUUCCUAUUGAAGAAUUAGAAAACCUACUCUAUGAAUGUAUGUUGCUUACAUUCAACACAGAGAUAGAAGAUGGCAGUAUUGAACAGGUAGCAGAACAAUUAUUUGUUAUUCAUGAAGAAUACUUGCUUCGUCAAUCAUCUUAAUGUUUGAAAGAACUACACUUUGAGAUAGGUAGAAGGUUUUUCACUUCAGAACAAACACACGACUUUGAGAAAGUGGGAAUAAUGCAGAAGAUAAAAGUUAGAAUGAAGAAAUCUUUCAAUUACAAUUCAUGCCCACAACUCAAACACAUUGCAGGUUCGAAAGGUAA